rnacentral:rRNA from 1 species
UACGUAGGUGGCAAGCGUUGUCCGGAUUUAUUGGGUUUAAAGGGUGCGUAGGCGGCUUUGUAAGUCAGUGGUGAAAUACUCCAGCUUAACUGGAGGGGUGCCAUUGAUACUGCGGAGCUUGAGUACAGAUGAGGUAGGCGGAAUUGACGGUGUAGCGGUGAAAUGCAUAGAUAUCGUCAAGAACACCGAUAGCGAAGGCAGCUUACUGGGCUGUAACUGACGCUGAUGCACGAAAAGUGUGGGGGAUCAAACAGG